rnacentral:rRNA from 1 species
GACGAACCGUGCGAACGUUAUUCGGAAUCACUGGGCUUAAAGCGCGUGUAGGCGGGACGGCGCGUCGGUCGCUGAAAGCCCCCGGCUCAACCGGGGAAGUGGCGCCGAUACGGCCGACCUGGAGGGACGUAGGGGGACCUGGAACUUCCGGUGGAGCGGUGAAAUGCGUUGAGAUCGGAAGGAACGCCCGUGGCGAAAGCGAGGUCCUGGACGUCUGCUGACGCUGAGACGCGAAAGCCAGGGGAGCGAACGGG